rnacentral:rRNA from 1 species
UAAAGAAAGCGUAAUAGCUCACUGGUCGAGUCGGCCUGCGCGGAAGAUGUAACGGGGCUAAACCAUGCACCGAAGCUGCGGCAGCGACACUGUGUGUUGUUGGGUAGGGGAGCGUUCUGUAAGCCUGCGAAGGUGGCCUGUGAGGGUUGCUGGAGGUAUCAGAAGUGCGAAUGCUGACCUAAGUAAGGAUAAAGCGGGUGAAAAGCCCGCUCGCCGGAAGAC